rnacentral:rRNA from 1 species
CGGGUGAGUAACACGUAUCCAACCUGCCGUCUACUCUUGGACAGCCUUCUGAAGGAAGAUUAAUACAAGAUGGCAUCAUGAGUUCACAUGUUCACAUGAUUAAAGGUAUUCCGGUAGACGAUGGGGAUGCGUUCCAUUAGAUAGUAGGCGGGGUAACGGCCCACCUAGUCUUCGAUGGAUAGGGGUUCUGAGAGGAAGGUCCCCCACAUUGGAACUGAGACACGGUCCAA